CUACGGGGGGCACCAGUGGGGAAUCUUGCGCAAUGGGCGAAAGCCUGACGCAGCAACGCCGCGUGCGGGAUGAAGGCCUUCGGGCUGUAAACCGCUUUCAGCAGGAACGAAAAUGACGGUACCUGCAGAAGAAGGAGCGGCCAACUACGUGCCAGCAGCCGCGGUGACACGUAGGCUCCAAGCGUUGUCCGGAUUUAUUGGGCGUAAAGAGCUCGUAGGCGGUUGAGUAAGUCGGGUGUGAAAACUCUGGGCUUAACCCGGAGACGCCAUCCGAUACUGCUCUGACUUGAGUUCAGGAGGGGAGUGGGGAAUUCCUAGUGUAGCGGUGAAAUGCGCAGAUAUUAGGAGGAACACCGGUGGCGAAGGCGCCACUCUGGACUGAAACUGACGCUGAGGAGCGAAAGCAUGGGUAGCAAACAGGAUUAGAUACCCGCGUAGUC
rnacentral:rRNA from 1 species